CGACAGCUUUGCUCUCUGGAGCAGAGACGCCAGGCUCCACUCUCCGAGGCAGCUCAGACCAGGAUGGAUGUAGGCUAGAAUCUUCCCGGACUAUCCUGCUCCGUUACUCCCCAGACCACCUCCACCUCACCUCCAGCACCAUGAUGGACAGAAUCCCGUGAGGCCACGGGCUGGCAGCCAUCUUCCCUCUGUUUAUGCCAGCCAUUCUAUCCCAGCCGCGAGGACAGCACGGCCUCUGAAAAGGAAGCCUCAGCUGAAGAUGGCUUUGCUGGCUCCCGUGUAAUCCUCCCAUCUGGCUGUGAUGUGAGGAGGGAUGCAGAGUGGGCUGCGGUAGGCAUGGAAACGAGGCUGCCUGCUGCAUCUUGCAGGAGAGAAAGCCUUACCUCCGACACCAACACAUGUGCACAUGCACACACAGACACAUGGGCAGCUACAGCUACGGUGCGUGCCUGCCUGCCUGCCGCCUGCCAUGUUUCCCACCGUGAUGAUCGUGGACUAACCUUCUGAAACCAUAGCCCUCAAUUAAAUUCUUCAUUUUAUGAAUCGCCUUGAUCGAGAUAUCUCUUCAGAGCAACAGAACAGUGACCAAGUCAUCAUGAUAAAAGUUCUAAACACUAGGCCAGCCCAUUACCUGACCAACAGGAUGACUAUUGGGCCCAGUGAGUAGGAAGCUGUAUGUGAUCUACGUUCUUAGGAAUGUUUGCUAAGGGAAGGUGGGCCGGUGAGAUGGCCGACGAUCCUACACAGUGGAAGGAGAGGAUCAACUCUGACAAGACGCCCUCUGGCCUCCGCAGGCACACACACUCAUGCAAAGAAAAGAAAAAUGUA